ACACUGCUGAGGAGUCCCACAACAGGACGAAACGACUGUCCACUGCAU
rnacentral:hammerhead_ribozyme from 1 species